rnacentral:rRNA from 1 species
GAUGAACGCUGGCGGCGUGCCUAAUACAUGCAAGUCGAGCGAACAGACGAGGCGCUUGCUCCUCUGACGUUAGCGGCGGACGGGUGAGUAACACGUGGAUAACCUACCUAUAAGACUGGGAUAACUUCGGGAAACCGGAGCUAAUACCGGAUAAUAUAUUGAACCGCAUGGUUCAAUAGUGAAAGACGGUUUUGCUGUCACCUAUAGAUGGAUCCGCGCCGCAUUAGCUAGUUGGUAAGGUAACGGCUUACCAAGGCAACGAUGCGUAGCCGACCUGAGAGGGUGAUCGGCCACACUGGAACUGAGACACGGUCCAGACUCCUACGGGAGGCAGCAGUAGGGAAUCUUCCGCAAUGGGCGAAAGCUUGACGGAGCAACGCCGCGUGAGUGAUGAAGGUCUUCGGAUCGUAAAACUCUGUUAUUAGGGAAGAACAAAUGUGUAAGUAACUAUGCACGUCUUGACGGUACCUAAUCAGAAAGCCACGGCUAACUACGUG